rnacentral:SRP_RNA from 1 species
AAAUGCUAUGAAAGCAUUGAUAGGCCUUCCCCUUCCCCCUAUCUAUUCUAAUCUAUUUGUUGAAAUGUGCCUGCAGUCUUAGGGAUUCUGGGCUACUGCGUCGAUCUGGUGUCUGCACUAAGAUCAAUGUCGGUAUGGUGUUUUGAAGGGAGCUCUGGACUACCAGGUUGCCUAAGGAGCGGUUCCCUGGCUCAGGGUGGGAACCAAGAAGGUCAAAGCCCCCGUACCAAUCAGUAGUGGGAUAGUGCCUGUGAUUUUUUUUUUGCACAUUCCUGUACAUAUAUUU